GGGCGGGUAGCCCAGUUGGUGAGAGCGCUGCCCUUACAAGGCAGAGGUCGGGAGUUCGAGUCUCCCCCCGCCCA
rnacentral:tRNA from 1 species